CAGCAGCCGCGGUAAAACGUAGGUGGCAAGCGUUGUCCGGAAUUAAUGGGCGUAAAGGGCUCGCAGGCGGUUUCUUAAGUCUGAUGUGAAAGCCCCCGGCUCAACCGGGGAGGGUCAUUGGAAACUGGGAAACUUGAGUGCAGAAGAGGAGAGUGGAAUUCCACGUGUAGCGGUGAAAUGCGUAGAGAUGUGGAGGAACACCAGUGGCGAAGGCGACUCUCUGGUCUGUAACUGACGCUGAGGAGCGAAAGCGUGGGGAGCGAACAGGAUUAGAUACCCCGGUAGUCCCUGUCUCUUAUAA
rnacentral:rRNA from 1 species